UACGACGGGUGCAAGCGUUAAUCGGAAUUACUGGGCGUAAAGGGUGCGUAGGCGGUUGUUUAAGUCUGUCGUGAAAUCCCCGGGCUCAACCUGGGAAUGGCGAUGGAUACUGGGCAGCUAGAGUGUGUCAGAGGAUGGUGGAAUUCCCGGUGUAGCGGUGAAAUGCGUAGAGAUCGGGAGGAACAUCAGUGGCGAAGGCGGCCAUCUGGGACAACACUGACGCUGAAGCACGAAAGCGUGGGGAGCAAACAGG
rnacentral:rRNA from 1 species